rnacentral:rRNA from 1 species
AUUGAACGCUGGCGGCAGGCCUAACACAUGCAAGUCGAGCGAGCGGCGGACGGGUGAGUAAUGUAUGGGGACUGCCCGAUAGAGGGGGAUAACUACUGGAAACGGUAGCUAAUACCGCAUACUAUCGGAUAACCCAUAGGGAAUUAGCUAGUAGGUGAGGUAAUGGCUCACCUAGGCGACGAUCCCUAGCUGGUCUGAGAGGGUGAUCAGCCACACUGGGACUGAGACACGGCCCAGACUCCUACGGAGGCAGCAGUGGGGAAUAUUGCGCAAUGGACGAAAGCCUGAUGGAGCAAUGCCGCGUGUGUGAAGAAGGCGUUAGGAUUGUAAAAUUCUGUCGGUAGAGAAGCGUUACCGACCCAGGAAGCAACGGCUAACUCCGUGCCAGCAGCCGCGGUAAUUC